CCCAUCGAGUGCGAAAGGGAAUCCGGUUCAUAUUCCGGAACCGCGAUGCGGAACCGAUCUCAAAGAUGCGGGCCUUCGCUUACGAGCGAGAGCUCGUCGGGGUAACCCGAAAGAACCCGGAGACGCCGUCUGGAGAUCCCAGAAGAGUUUUCUUUUCUGUAUGAGCUAUCGUGUUCCCUGGAAUGCUUUCGCAGCGAGAUAGGGUAUGGAUAGCGAAGAGCGACGCACUUCCAGCGUCGUUGGGAUCUUCCCGUCGGACCAUGAAAAUCCGGGAGAGGGCCACGCGGAGAUGCCGCUCGUGCUCGUACCCAUAUCCGCAGCAGGUCUCCAAGGUUCAUAGCCUCUAGUCGACGGAAUAAUGUAGGUAAGGGAAGUCGGCAA
rnacentral:rRNA from 1 species